rnacentral:lncRNA from 1 species
GGAACGUCGUGCCGGAUCCCGCGGACGAGGCCGACCCCGACGGCGCGCCGCCGUCGGAAGAGACGCGCAGAUCGCGCGCGAUGGCGCACGCCGCGGACACGACCGCUGCGCUGCUUCGCAUGGGGAUCCUCAACCGCGUGCGGUACCUCCUCGAAGUCGGCGCGCACCCGGCGGCGACGGCGCCGUGCCUCGCCGUCGUCGCCGCGUGCGCGCGGCACUCCGCCGCGGCGUGCGAGGCUGCGUUCAAGUGCCCGCGGUUGCUUCAAACGCUGACCGACAUCGCGUCCGCGCCGUUGCUGUCGAAG